rnacentral:rRNA from 1 species
AUUGAACGCUGGCGGCAUGCCUUACACAUGCAAGUCGAACGGCAGCACGGGUGCUUGCCCCUGGUGGCGAGUGGCGAACGGGUGAGUAAUACAUCGGAACAUGUUCUGUAGUGGGGGAUAGCCCGGCGAAAGCCGGAUUAAUACCGCAUACGAUCUACGGAUGAAAGCGGGGGACCUUCGGGCCUCGCGCUAUAGGGUUGGCCGAUGGCUGAUUAGCUAGUUGGUGGGGUAAAGGCCUACCAAGGCGACGAUCAGCAGCUGGUCUGAGAGGACGACCAGCCACACUGGGACUGAGACACGGCCCAGACUCCUACGGGAGGCAGCAGUAGGGAAUUUUGGACAAUGGGCGAAAGCCUGAUCCAGCAAUGCCGCGUGUGUGAAGAAGGCCUUCGGGUUGUAAAGCACUUUUGUCCGGAAAGAAAUCCUUGGCCCUAAUACGGUCGGGGGAUGACGGUACCGGAAGAAUAAGCACCGGCUAACUACGUG